UUGACACACUGGUUCUCAUAUGAUCAUCAAUGUUAAGCAAUGUUGAGCUUGGUCAGUACGUGGAUGGGUGACCACUUGAGAAUACCAUAUGCUGUAAG